GGGUUGUGAGGUUAAGCGACUAAGCGUACACGGUGGAUGCCCUGGCAGUCAGAGGCGAUGAAGGACGUGCUAAUCUGCGAUAAGCGUCGGUAAGGUGAUAUGAACCGUUAUACCCGACGAUAUCCGAAUGGGGAAACCCAGUAUCCAAUGGAUACUAUCAUUAACUGAAUCCAUAGGUUAAUGAGGCGAACCGGGAGAACUGAAACAUCUCAGUACCCCGAGGAAAAGAAAUCAACCGAGAUUCCCCUAGUAGCGGCGAGCGAACGGGGAGCAGCCCAGAGUCUUAAUCAAUAGCAGUGUCAGGAGAACGGUCUGGAAAGUCCGGCAGUAAAGGGUGAUAGCCCCGUAUCUGAAGGUGCUGUUAUUGUGAACUCGACGAGUAGGGCGGGACACGUGUUAUCCUGUCUGAAUAUGGGGGGACCAUCCUCCAAGGCUAAAUACUCCUGAUUGACCGAUAGUGAACCAGUACCGUGAGGGAAAGGCGAAAAGAACCCCGGCGAGGGGAGUGAAAAAGAACCUGAAACCGUGUACGUACAAGCAGUGGGAGCACCCUUCGGGNNNNNNNNNNNNNNNNNNNNNNNNNNNNNNNNNNNNNNNNNNNNAGGGAAACCGAGUCUUAACUGGGCGUUAAGUUGCAGGGUAUAGACCCGAAACCCGGUGAUCUAGCCAUGGGCAGGUUGAAGGUUGGGUAACACUAACUGGAGGACCGAACCGACUAAUGUUGAAAAAUUAGCGGAUGACCUGUGGCUGGGGGUGAAAGGCCAAUCAAACCGGGAGAUAGCUGGUUCUCCCCGAAAGCUAUUUAGGUAGCGCCUCGUGAACUCAUCUUCGGGGGUAGAGCACUGUUUCGACUAGGGGGUCAUCCCGACUUAACAACGCGAUGCAAACUACGAAUACCGAAGAAUGUUAUCACGGGAGACACACGGCGGGUGCUAACGUCCGUCGUGAAGAGGGAAACAACCCAGACCGCCAGCUAAGGUCCCAAAGUCAUGGUUAAGUGGGAAACGAUGUGGGAAGGCCCAGACAGCCAGGAUGUUGGCUUAGAAGCAGCCAUCAUUUAAAGAAAGCGUAAUAGCUCACUGGUCGAGUCGGCCUGCGCGGAAGAUGUAACGGGGCUAAACCAUGCACCGAAGCUGCGGCAGCGACACUAUGUGUUGUUGGGUAGGGGAGCGUUCUGUAAGCCUGUGAAGGUGUACUGUGAGGUAUGCUGGAGGUAUCAGAAGUGCGAAUGCUGACAUAAGUAACGAUAAUGCGGGUGAAAAACCCGCACGCCGGAAGACCAAGGGUUCCUGUCCAACGUUAAUCGGGGCAGGGUGAGUCGACCCCUAAGGCGAGGCCGAAAGGCGUAGUCGAUGGGAAACAGGUUAAUAUUCCUGUACUUGGUGUUACUGCGAAGGGGGGACGGAGAAGGCUAUGUUAGCCGGGCGACGGUUGUCCCGGUUUAAGCAUGUAGGCGGAGGUUCCAGGUAAAUCCGGUACCUUUUAACGCUGAAGGUGUGAUGACGAGGCACUACGGUGCUGAAGUGAUAAAUGCCCUGCUUCCAGGAAAAGCCUCUAAGCAUCAGGUAACACGAAAUCGUACCCCAAACCGACACAGGUGGUCAGGUAGAGAAUACCAAGGCGCUUGAGAGAACUCGGGUGAAGGAACUAGGCAAAAUGGUGCCGUAACUUCGGGAGAAGGCACGCUGGUAUGUAGGUGAAGCCCCUGCGGGUGGAGCUGAAAUCAGUCGAAGAUACCAGCUGGCUGCAACUGUUUAUUAAAAACACAGCACUGUGCAAACACGAAAGUGGACGUAUACGGUGUGACGCCUGCCCGGUGCUGGAAGGUUAAUUGAUGGGGUCAGCCGCAAGG
rnacentral:rRNA from 1 species